rnacentral:rRNA from 1 species
AGAGUUUGAUCAUGGCUCAGAACGAACGCUGGCGGCAUGCCUAACACAUGCAAGUCGAACGAAGCCUUCGGGCUUAGUGGCGCACGGGUGCGUAACGCGUGGGAAUCUGCCCUUGGGUGCGGAAUAACUUCUCGAAAGGGAUGCUAAUACCGCAUAAUGUCGUAAGACCAAAGAUUUAUCGCCCAAGGAUGAGCCCGCGUAAGAUUAGCUAGUUGGUGGGGUAAAAGCCUACCAAGGCGACGAUCUUUAGCUGGUCUGAGAGGAUGAUCAGCCACACUGGGACUGAGACACGGCCCAGACUCCUACGGGAGGCAGCAGUGGGGAAUAUUGGACAAUGGGCGAAAGCCUGAUCCAGCAAUGCCGCGUGAGUGAUGAAGGCCCUAGGGUUGUAAAGCUCUUUACCAGGGAUGAUAAUGACAGUACCUGGAGAAUAAGCUCCGGCUAACUCCGUG